UGAACAACUCUCCUCAACUGAAGGCGCACCUACUGUUACUAGAAGUCUAGUCUCUCUCAGGUCCAGUUUCGAUCUCGAACUACAACAUAGGCGGGAAAAGAGAUAUUCAGAAAAGCCGAUUUCCUGUCCUGUCUUAAGAACCUGACUCAAAAGAGAAAAGAAGACCGGACUAAAAGAGAUCUCACUUUCGACGAUUGAACUCCACUUUCAUAUCAGGCUUGCACUGGAAUUCACUUUCAGGAAUCCUUGCUCCUGGCUCAUAUUCACAUAGGCCACUCAUAAGAAUAAGACGUUCAACUCCCUCAAACACGUGUAAUUGAGAGAGUCAGAAUAUCAGUGCCUUGGGUAAAUGUCUACCUUCGGGAGAAUCUUACCGAACGACUUUCAAACCUGUCCUCUUCGCUUCCCAAGAGAUUGGAUUUAGGUAAAAGGGCCUUGUCGGCCACCGCUUUUAUUUUCAUUCAUUUUUCCUAUUAAAAAAAAAAGAAAAGACCCCCGCUCGAACUAACUUUCAACGCUCGAACUCCAGAACGAANUACCAUUAAUGAGUAUAAGUUGAUUGUGAAUAUGGAAACAAGGAAAAGUUAUAGAUAAUGAGGUUAAAAGCUUGAAAUAUCAUCCACAUAGAUCGUAAACAAUGUGAGUGAUUUUGAUUAUGUAAUGAGUUUAAUAAUAAUAGAUAAAUUUAAUUUCAUUAAUUUUUGAAAUGUUUAGAUAAAUUCUACAUAUUGGUUAUACCAAAGUUGUCAACAUCGGGAUCCUACCUAUGAUCGUUUUUUGGUUUGCAAGAUUGGGAUCAUAAGAUCGGGAUCGAGAUCCUAAGAUCCCACAAAAUAAAAUAUAAUUUUAAUUUAUAAUAUUUAAUCAUGAAAAAUAUUUCAAACAUUUAAAUUUUCGUUCAAAAGUUAUAAAACUUCAAAAUAUUAGUCAUAAGUCACAAUAAAAAAUGAUAAAUGGUAGUUUGAUAAAGGGUAAAAGACAUAAAGUGGUAAAAAAAUCAAGGGAAGGUAGGAUCGGAUCGGAUCUCGAUCCUACAAUCCUACCUACGAUCCUACCCCAAAUACGAUCCUUUUACGAUCCGGAUCGUUUUUCAUACCUAGGAUCGUAGGAUCGUACGAUCCUACGAUCAGGAUUGUGAUUUUGACAGCCAUGGAUUAUACAUAUAACAAUCAUAUAUGUGUAUGAGAAUAAGAAGGUUGGGUACAUGAAGUAUCUAUGAAAAAAUCAUGAGAGGCAAUUGGAUUACAUUACACUUGAGAUCACUAAAAGAGUUAUUCUUAUCGAAAUUACAAGGAUGCAAAUGAUGGAUUAUAAGGAGUAGAUCAUAUCAUUAGAUAGCAUUACUAAUGAGAUUGAUGAGAAAGAAUAUGGGAUCUAUAUACUAUACACAUGAGAGAUAAAUGGGUACAAUUGAGUGAUGAUUAGUAUUAUGCUAAAGAUGAUAAGAUAAUUGUGUUGAGUUAUGCAUUAUGAUUUAUUGAUUUCUACUCACUAAGCUUUCGAGCUUACUUUUGUUUGAAUGUUUCUAUGAUUGCAGGUAUACAUGCACUUUGUUGGCACGAAAAAAAAGGUUAUUCAAUCCACUAGUGCAACUGAAGGAAUUACCUCUUCUGAACCGGAAUAAGAAAGAGCUCACAACCACUACUUGUGAACAACUCUCCUCAACUGAAGGCGCACCUACUGUUACUAGAAGUCUAGUCUCUCUCAGGUCCAGUUUCGAUCUCGAACUACAACAUAGGCAGGAAAAGAGAUAUUCAGAAAAGCCGAUUUCCUGUCCUGUCUUAAGAACCUGACUCAAAAGAGAAAAGAAGACCGGACUAAAAGAGAUCUCACUUUCGACGAUUGAACUCCACUUUCAUAUCA
rnacentral:lncRNA from 1 species